CGUAACGCGUAUCGAACCUGCCUCAUACUCGGGGAUAGCCUUGCGAAAGUAAGAUUAAUACCCGGCGGUCUCGGAUGGCCGCAUGACUGUCCGAGUGAAGAUUUAUCGGUAUGAGAUGGCGAUGCGUCCCAUUAGCUAGUUGGUGAGGUAACGGCUCACCAAGGCAUCGAUGGGUAGGGGUUCUGAGAGGAAGGUCCCCCACAUUGGAACUGAGACACGGUCCAAACUCC
rnacentral:rRNA from 1 species